CUGGUUACAGACCCUCCACCACCACCACUACCAGUCAGAUUCUCCACCAUCACCACCAGUCAGACCCUCCACCCCCACUACCAGUCAGACCCUCCACCACCACCACUACUACCAGUCAGACCCUCCACCCCCCCCCCCACUACCAGUCAGACCCUCCACCACUACUACUACAAGUCAGACCCUCCACCACCACUACUACCAGUCAGACCCUCCACCACCACCACCACUACCAGUCAGACCCUCCACCACCGCCACUACAAGUCAGACCCUCCACCACCACCACUACUACAAGUCAGACCCUCCACCACCACCACUACUACCAGUCAGACCCUCCACCACCACCACUACAACAAGUCAGACCCUCCACCACAACCACUACUACAAGUCAGACCCUCCACCACCACCACUACUACUACAAGUCAGACCCUCCACCACCACCACUACUACUACAAGUCAGACCCUCCACCACCACCACUACUACUACAAGUCAGACCCUCCACCACCACCACUACUACCACAAGUCAGACCCUCCACCACCACCACUACUACCAAUCAGACCCUCCACCACUACUACUACUACUACCAGUCAGACCCUCCACCACCACCACCACCACCACUACUACAAGUCAGACCCUCCACCACCACCACCACUACUACUACAAGUCAGACCCUCCACCACCACCACCACUACUACAAGUCAGACCCUCCACCACCACCACCACUACUACAAGUCAGACCCUCCACCACCACCACUACUACUACCAGUCAGACCCUCCACCACCACUACUACUACAAGUCAGACCCUCCACCACCACCACCACUACUACAAGUCAGACCCUCCACCACCACCACUACUACCAGUCAGACCCUCCACCACCACCACUACUACUACUACCAGUCAGACCCUCCACCACCACUACUACUACCAGUCAGACCCUCCACCACCACCACUACUACUACCAGUCAGACCCUCCACCACCACCACUACUACCAGUCAGACCCUCCACCACCACCACUACUACAAGUCAGACCCUCCACCACCACCACUACUACAAGUCAGACCCUCCACCACCACUACUACUACAAGUCAGACCCUCCACCACCACUACUACCAGUCAGACCCUCCACCACUACUACUACAAGUCAGACCCUCCACCACCACCACCACUACUACUACAAGUCAGACCCUCCACCACCACCACCACCACUACUACAAGUCAGACCCUCCACCACCACUACUACCAGUCAGACCCUCCACCACCACUACUAGUCAGACCCUCCACGACCACCUCCACUACCAGUCAGACCCUCCACCCCGAGUCAGACCCUCCACCCCCACCCCGAGUCAGACCCUCCACCACCACCAGUCAGACCCUCCACCACCACCACCACUACCAAUCAGACCCUCCACCACCACCCAGACCCUCCACCCCCACCAGUCAGACCAUCCAUCCCCACACCGAGUCAGACCCUCCAUCACCAAUCAGACCAUCCACCCCCAGUCAGACCCUCCACAACCAGUCAGACCCUCCACCAGUAAGACCAUCCACCCCACCACCAAUCAGACCAUCAGCCCCACCCACCACCCAGACCCUCCACCCCCACCACCACUACCAGUCAGACCCUCCACCACCAUCCACCCCACCACCAGUCAGAUCAUCCACCACCACCACCACUACCAGUCAGAACAUACACCCCCACCAGUCAGACCCUCCACCCCCAGUCAGACCCUCCACCUCCAGUCAGACCAUACACCCCCACCAGUCAGACCAUACACCCCCACCAGUCAGAACAUACACCCCCACCAGUCAGAACAUACACCCCCACCAGUCAGAACAUACACUCCCACCAGUCGUACACCAUAACAUCAGGUUCCAUAACCCUGCAGCUCUUCUGUUCCAGGGGUCAAAAAUGUCACCAAAUAUCAAAUUUGAUUAA
ensembl:lncRNA